rnacentral:rRNA from 1 species
UACGGAGGAUCCAAGCGUUAUCCGGAUUUAUUGGGUUUAAAGGGUGCGUAGGCGGCUUAUUAAGUCAGGGGUGAAAGACGGCAGCUCAACUGUCGCAGUGCCUUUGAUACUGAUGAGCUUGAAUGAACCUGAGGUAGGCGGAAUGUGACAAGUAGCGGUGAAAUGCAUAGAUAUGUCACAGAACACCAAUUGCGAAGGCAGCUUACUAAAGUUUAAUUGACGCUGAGGCACGAAAGCGUGGGGAUCAAACAGGAUUAGAAACCCUCGUAGUCC